rnacentral:rRNA from 1 species
CUCGUAGGCGGCCAACUAAGUCCGACGUGAAAUCCCCAGGCUUAACCUGGGAACUGCGUCGGAUACUGGAUGGCUUGAAUUCGGGAGAGGGAUGCAGAAUUCCAGGUGUAGCGGUGAAAUGCGUAGAUAUCUGGAGGAAUACCGGUGGCGAAGGCGGCAUCCUGGACCGACAUUGACGCUCAUGAGCGAAAGGCUAGGGGAGCAAACG